UACGUAGGGGGCAAGCGUUAUCCGGAUUUACUGGGUGUAAAGGGGGCGCAGACGGCAGCGCAAGCCAGGAGUGAAAGCCCGGGGCCCAACCCCGGGACUGCUCUUGGAACUGCGCGGCUGGAGUGCAGGAGGGGCAGGCGGAAUUCCUGGUGUAGCGGUGAAAUGCGUAGAUAUCAGGAGGAACACCGGUGGCGAAGGUGGCCUGCUGGACUGCGACUGACGUUGAGGCCCGAAAGCGUGGGGAGCAAACAGG
rnacentral:rRNA from 1 species